GGCCUUCAAACCCGCCCGCCGAACGCCUAUAUUAGGUGCGCCGGGCGACCGGCUAUGGCGAUAAACGCGACGUGGCAUAGGCGAUGCGGACCCGGGGGCAGUACCCGGCGCCUCCACCAAAUUCCCGCGGUCUGGCGCGGGGCGAUGGGGGCGACACAGGCUCGACGCGCGCAGUAAAGACGUCGACUUUCGCUCGGCAUGGUUCCGCCGUUAUCGGGCCAAUCCAAGAGUGCCAACGAUAACGACUUGGCUCUCGCGGCCUAACCAAACUUAGGCCACGCGGUCCGGGGGGAACCGGGCAACAGAAUCCCCCCACU
rnacentral:tmRNA from 1 species